GAAAUAUCCCCUAUCCAAAUCAACCGUAUUAGCUGCAAAUGCUCUGUCUCAAGGUUCCGCAAUCUUCUUAAUUGUGAAAGGGCUUCGGCCUAGGAAGCGAUGAAGGUGAUAGAGAAUUUUGGUUUGCGGCGGCACUUAUAUUAUCUACAAAUGAGUUUGACAUGAAACAGGAAAUAUCCAAGCAAAGCACAGUACCUUGAAGGAAGACAGCAAAGGAGAGAGACAAAGGACAGAGAGAAAAAACACAGCACCAAAGCUUCUUAUAGUGGAGGCUGUGACAGAACCUGGAGUUGGAUCAUGCACAUGACAAAGCAGGCACAAUAUCCAGUGGAGCUCUUUGAAGAAUCCCUUUGGCUUGUAUCUCAUCAUUUAUGAAAUGUCCACCAGGUUCCAGAUGCUAGCAUGAUGCCAACCAGACUUCCCUGGACAAACGACCCCACCAGUAUGUCCUGGAGCUCUGAUUCCCCAGAACCCCACCCCACUAGGGAAAGAGAGAGGCAGACUGGGAGUAUGGAUCGACCUGUCAAUGCCCAUGUUCAGCAGGGAAGCAAUUACAGAAGCCAGACCUUCAACCUUCUGCAUCCCACAAUGACCUUGGGUCCAUACUCCCAGAGGGUUAAAAAUAGGAAAGCUAUCAGGGGAGGGGAUGGGAUACGGAGUUCUGAUGGAAGGAAUUGUGUAGAGUUGUACCCCUCUUAUCCUAUGGUUUUGUCAAUGUUUCCUU